CAGCAGCCGCGGUAAUGCGUAGGGUGCAAGCGUUAAUCGGAAUUACUGGGCGUAAAGCGUGCGCAGGCGGUUCGUUAAGACAGAUGUGAAAUCCCCGGGCUUAACCUGGGAACUGCAUUUGUGACUGGCGGGCUAGAGUAUGGCAGAGGGGGGUAGAAUUCCACGUGUAGCAGUGAAAUGCGUAGAGAUGUGGAGGAAUACCGAUGGCGAAGGCAGCCCCCUGGGCCAAUACUGACGCUCAUGCACGAAAGCGUGGGGAGCAAACAGGAUUAGAUACCCCUGUAGUCCCUGUCUCUUAUAC
rnacentral:rRNA from 1 species